UCCUAACAUAUAUUAAAGUCUUUGAGAUCAGGGAUUUAACCUUAUAUCUUGAACAGAGGAGUGUUCAAUUAAUCUUUGUUUAACAUGAGAAUAAAGGUUGGUAAAAGAGAUCAGCAAGUGAGUGCAGAGUCAAUCCAUGACCCAUUUUUCUGAAUUGAGCAGCUGUCUAUACUCACUUUCUAAAGUAAUAUCUAUGUGUUUUGAAGGGGAAAGAUAAAUGACUCUAUCAUAAUUUCCAAUGAGAUUCAAGACUAUGUGGGUAAGUUCACAUCACCUACUUCUCCAUGAGUACUUGUUAUCUGUAUUUAACUUCUGUUUAAUAUUCUGGCACCUGUUGUUCUUUCUCUUCCUUACAAACAAUUAAGUCAUUUCCCUUUCUCCUUACUUCCAGGUCUCAAUCCAGACCCUUUACGUUGACCCAGAUGAAGUGAGAGUAACUUCAUAUACUAAAGCUUCAUGUUGGACAUAAAUACAUCUUGAUUAAAUGUCUCUACCACAGAAAUGCCAAGGAAGCCUUUGGGAGCCUUUGAACUUUGAGGGUCAGAUUCCAUCCAUCUAGGGCUGGUGUUAUGGGUAUGUGACCAGCAUAGUCUGCUAAAAAAAGAAUUAAAGAAGGCAAUUUAAGUUACACCAACAGACUUUGUUUAAAACUUCAAGAAGCAGUCAAGAAAAUUGCAAAAUGGGGAAGAAGGCAGGAAGCUUUUAGAAGAUACAGAAUAGAGAGCAAGGAAGCUGUAAGUCAGACAUCAGGAUCCCAUCCUAUCUAGAUUCUGAAGAGAGCUGUCAUCCUGACUCACAGACAGACUCCUUCUCACUGUGUUCUCAUGCCACACGGUGAGUGAGCUCUUUGGUGUCUUUUAUUAGGGCACUGAUCCUAUCCGGGACCCACCCGUGUGAACUUACUUAACCAGGAUCACUUUUUACUCCAAAUACAGUCUCAUUGGGAGGUAAAGUUUCAAUACAUGAAUUUGGGGGAAGGAGCAUCAUAAUUCAGCCCACAGCAAUUCCCUUUCUAGAAAG